rnacentral:rRNA from 1 species
GACGAACGCUGGCGGCGUGCUUAACACAUGCAAGUCGAGCGGAGCGGCGAACGGGUGAGUAACGCGUGAGUAACUGCCCCCCUCUCUGGGAUAACAGUUGGAAACGGCUGCUAAUACCGGAUAGUGGGGGAUGCCUAGGGUCCUUGUAGCUUGUUGGUGGGGGAGGGGCCUACCAAGGCGACGACGGGUAGCCGGCCUGAGAGGGAGACCGGCCUCAUUGGGCUGGGAUACGGCCCAAACUCCUACGGGGGGCAGCAGUGGGGAAUAUUGCACAAUGGGGGAAACCCUGAUGCAGCAACGCGCGUGCGGGAUGACGGCCUUCGGGUUGUAAACCGCUUUCAGCCAUGACGCGGUAGUGGCAGAAUAAGCACCGGCUAACUUCGUGCCAGCAGCCGCGGUAAUUC